UUGACAUAUAACUCGUUUUGUAUCAUAGAAAAGAAGACCCUGCACCUGGUUCCUAUUAACCAAAUAUUCUACAUUAAUUNUUUUUUAUUACACAAACUCAAAGACGUCCUUCAUANCUACAAAAUUUACUUUUUUGUGUUUAUGUUUAUUAUUUGCUAGCUGAAACUCAAGAUACUUCUAAUUUAAAUCAAAGACGUGGUACUAAUCGAUCUCGUAGAAAUACGCUAGUUCAGAGAGAGAUGGAUAGACAAGAAGAUAUAGAAGUACAACAGUUAUAUUCGUUGAACUCUACUGAGAAUUUUGGUGCAGAACAUAACACCAAUAACGAGUUUACCACAAAUACACGUAAUAGUUACACUAUAAUAUUUAUCUAUGUAAUAAAACCUGCGACAUUUCUUCCAAUGAAAGAUAU